CGCCUUCCAGUUGCAGCUGUGCAGCGGGCGGUUGCUCUUGGGUGGAGCGGCAUGGCCUCCGUCUUCCUUGCCGAGAUGGCAAGGCCAAUGCAGCUCAGUCUGCAGGACAGCAGGCAGUCGGGCCAGGUUGAACAGGAAAGGGCUCACCACUGAUCCUUGUGGGACGCCCUCUACCAAAUAGGUCCAGGGCCUGCUGAACGACUGGAUAGGGCAGGCCGUCAAAGGCCCCCUUCAUGCCGAUAAGCACCAGGAGCACGGCGUCACCGCAGGCCUUGGCCUCUUCCAGCGUGGAGACCACGUCCACGAUGGAGUCCGCACUGCAUCAGCUCCGCCGGAAGCCUAUCUGCUCAUCGGCCAGAAAGCAAUGGCCUCCAUCAGCUUGCAAGCAGCAGAGGCAGCUAGGCAGGCUGA